rnacentral:rRNA from 1 species
ACGGAAGGCAGCAGUGAGGAAUAUUGGUCAAUGGGCGGAAGCCUGAACCAGCCAAGUCGCGUGAAGGAUGAAGGUAUUAUGUAUUGUAAACUUCUUUAGACGCAGAGAAAUAAGCGGGACGUGUCCCGCGAUGCUAGUAUGCGUAGAGUAAGGAUCGGCUAACUCCGUGCCAGCAGCCGCGGUAAUACGGAGGAUCCGAGCGUUAUCCGGAUUUAUUGGGUUUAAAGGGUGCGCAGGCGGGCUAGUAAGUCUCCGGUGAAAUGUCAGGGCUCAACCUUGGCACUGCCGGAGAUACUGUUGGCCUUGAGAGUGGCGGAGGUAUCCGGAAUGUGUGGUGUAGCGGUGAAAUGCAUAGAUAUCACACAGAACACCGAUUGCGAAGGCAGGAUACCAUACCAUAUCUGACGCUCAGGCACGAAAGCGUGGGGAUCGAACAGGAUUAGAUACCCUGGUA